rnacentral:rRNA from 1 species
UGGUGGAGUGAUUUGUCUGGUUAAUUCCGAUAACGAACGAGACCUUAACCUGCUAACUAGUUUACUGAACGCAAGUUCUGCGAAACUUCUUAGAGGGACUAUCUGUGACUAACAGAUGGAAGUUUGAGGCAAUAACA